ensembl:lncRNA
CAGCAAGCACAGCUUUCUGUGGGCCUUGCUGCGUGCCUGCAAAGCAAAUUUCUACAGCAGUUAUGUACUGCAGUUCUCUGAGAGAUACUGGGGUAUGCAGGAUGCAGAAGAAGGUCUUAGUUUCACUGCACAGUUUGACAGACAGCUGUCAGGUGAGGUUUACGAAAAUGUAUGAACCCAAAGUAUGCCAUGAGGACUCUGGGAUAUCCCCAUCCCUAUAAGACUCUGGAAGAAAUAUAACCAUGGGUCAGAUUCCUCCUGCCCUGCUUGGUACUGGAAUAAAAUGUGUCUUCCACCACCUAACUCGUGGGGCUUCUCACUCAGGCAAAUCUUGCUAUGAUGCUUUCUCUUCAAGAGUGCCACCAUGCAGACAAGAAAGGGAGCCUGGAGCAAGACUACACAUCCCAGUAUGUCCCACACCAUAUGGGAUGGUGCGGGAGACAUCUGCCCAGUGCUUGAUCAGUCGGUUUGGGGAGUGUCUCCCAGCUGCACUCCUGACGCUCCUCUCUUGUGGCCUACUAUUUUUCUGUUGUUUUUCAUGUUGCAGUGUCAUCCUCCAGAGGCACUUACAGCUUUAUAUGUUUACUUUCCACCUUUCCCACCCUUUGUGGGGCAUUGUCACCCAACAGAAGUCUGGAAAAAAGAAGGUCAUUGAAGGCCAGAUGGAAGAUUUCCCUGAUAUCGGUAGCAGCAAGCAUAAUAAGAGACUUGGCUUUAACUUCUGCAGUACAGCAGAGGAACCUUCUGAAAUGGAGAUGGUUUUAGCAGCACAAGAAUUGUCCUUGGCAUGCAAGCCCAUGAACUAUACUCACUCUUUUUGGUAUGAUUGAGAAGAAACUGGAGAUGGAAGCAUACUCUGUGACCUGGAACAGCUGGUGGUACCAUGAAAGGAAGUGAUAUUGGGACUCAUAGCUGUUGGAGUGGGUUUGUACUGAGGCCAGAGCUGCUGUGCAGAUCUGCUCACAAGCUGGAAAAACAACCAGUGGGCCUAUUAUUACUGUUAUUAUUGGAGAGGGUAAGAAAAAGGCAUAUGUCCAUUUCAGAGCUUAAAAGCAUUAACAAUCUCCAUAAUAUGCAGUGCUGUUCUUGCUGACAUGAUUAGUUUUCAAAAGAGUCUGCAUGAUCAUCAGAUUUUGAAAAUAUAAGAAAUUAUUUCCUAGAAACCUUCCUUUACAAAAUUGGUUAGUUAAAUGUUGUGUAAAUUAUACUCCUGUUGUUUUAAUCCACGGGCUAUUAGCAGACAUUGGGGUAUCACAGUAAUGCUGUGCACAGAGAAUCAAUUUAUGAUUAUCCUGUACUGUUUUUCAAUGACCUGAAAUUGUGCACUGAACAGGAACAUAUAUUGUUUUAAUUAUCUUGGUCACACUCUCAGCUUUAUAAAACUUGCUGCAGGUUCAUCAACUCAGAUCCAGGUAUAAUUCAUAUUGGUCACAAGAAUAUUAUUUAAGAAUAUAAUGGCACC